UACGGAAGGGGCAAGCGUUGUUCGGAAUUAUUGGGCGUAAAGGGCGUGUAGGCGGCUUCAUAUGUCUGCGGUGAAAGCAUACAGCUCAACUGUAUUGAGCCGCGGAAACUGUGGAGCUUGAGGCUGGGAGGGGCUGGUGGAAUUCCCUGUGUAGCGGUGAAAUGCGUAGAGAUGGGGGAGAACACUCGUGGCGAAGGCGGCCAGCUGGACCAGUACUGACGCUGAGACGCGAAAGCGUGGGGAGCAAACAGG
rnacentral:rRNA from 1 species